rnacentral:tRNA from 4 species
CUUAGGAUAGCCGCCCUUAAACCGAA